CCUACGGGAGGCAGCAGUGAGGAAUAUUGGUCAAUGGUCGGGAGACUGAACCAGCCAAGCCGCGUGAGGGAUGAAGGUACAGAGUAUCGUAAACCUCUUUUGUCAGGGAACAAAGGCGGGGACGUGUCCCCGGAUGAGUGUACCUGAAGAAAAAGCAUCGGCUAACUCCGUGCCAGCAGCCGCGGUAAUACGGAGGAUGCGAGCGUUAUCCGGAUUUAUUGGGGUUAAAGGGUGCGCAGGCGGUCUGUUAAGUCAGCGGUCAAAGCCCGGGGCUCAACCCCGGCCCGCCGUUGAAACUGGCAGUCGCGAGUUGGAGAGAAGUAUGCGGAAUGCGCGGUGUAGCGGUGAAAUGCAUAGAUAUCGCGCAGAACUCCGAUUGCGAAGGCAGCAUGCCGGCUCCACACUGACGCUGAGGCACGAAAGCGUGGGUAUCGAACAGGAUUAGAUACCCGUGUAGUC
rnacentral:rRNA from 1 species